UACGAAGGGGGCUAGCGUUGUUCGGAAUCACUGGGCGUAAAGGGCGCGUAGGCGGUCACGCACGUCCGUUGUGAAAUCGCUCGGCUCAACUGGGCGGGGUCAGCGGAUACGGCGUGGCUGGAGCAAGCUAGGGGGCAAUGGAAUUCCCGGUGUAGUGGUGGAAUGCGUAGAUAUCGGGAGGAACACCAGUGGCGAAGGCGGUUGCCUGGAGCUUUGCUGACGCUGAUGCGCGAAAGCGUGGGGAGCGAUCCGG
rnacentral:rRNA from 1 species